CCUGGUUAAUCCUGUCAGUAGCAUAGGUUUCUCUCAAAGAUUAAGCCAUGCACGUGUAAUUACACAUGGCUAGUACAGUGAAACUGCAAAUGGCUCAUUAAAUCAGUUAUGGUUCCUUUGAUCACUCCAUCUGUUACUUGGAUAAUUGUGGUAAUUCCAGAGCUAAUACAUGCCGACGAGCGCUGGCCUGCUGGGGUGCGUAUAUUUAUCUGACCAACACCAAACUCAGCUCGCCAGGUCACUUUGGUUACUCUAGAUAGCCUUGGACCGAUCGCACAUCCCAGUGACGGUGAUGAUAUAUUCGGAUGUCUGCCCUUUCUACUUUUGGUGGUACAUUCUGUGCCUACCAUGGUGAUGACAGUUAACAAGGAAUCAGGGUUUGAUUCCAGAGAAGGAGCCUGAGAAAUAGCUAGCACAUUCAAGGAAGGCAACAGGCGCACAAAUUAUUCACUCCCGAGUCGGCGAGGUUGUGAUGAAAAAUAAUAAUAGAGGACUUUUUGGAGGACCUCUAACUGGAAUGAGAACACUUUCAAUCCUUUAAGGAGAAUCCAUUGGAGGGCAAGUCGUGUGCCAGCAGCCACCGUAAUUCCAGCUCUAAUAGCGUAUAUUAAAGUUGCUGCAGUUAAAAAGCUUGUACUUGGAUCUUGGGAUGGAGCUGGUGGUCCACUGCAAGGCGAGCGACCACCUGUCCCAGCCCCUGCCUCUUGGCACCCCCUGAUGCUCUUGACUUAGUGACCUGGGGUUCUGAAACGUUUACUUUGAAAAAAUAAGAGUGCUCACAGCAGGCCAGGCACCUGAAUACUUCAGCUAGGACUAAUGGAAUAGGACGCCUGUUCUAUUUUGUUGGUUUUUGGAACUGGGAACAUGAUUAAGAGAGACUGCUGAGGGCAAUCAUAUUGUGGUGACAUUCUUGGACCGGCGCAAGAUGAACCAAAGCAAAAGCAUUGCCAGAAAGUUUUUAUUAAUCAAGAAUGAAACUCAGAGGUUCAAAACGAUCAGAUACUGUCAUAGUUCUGACCAUAAACAAUGCUGACUAGCGAUCGGCAGCGUUAUUCCAUGACUCGCUAAGCAGAUUCUGGGAAACCAAGUCUUUGGUUCCAGGGGGAGUAUGGUUGCAAAGCUGAAACUUAAAGGAAUUGACGGAAGGGCACCACCAGGAGUGGAGCUGCGGCUUAAUUUGACUCAACACAGGAAAGCUCACCCGGCCCGGACACGGAAAGGAUUGACAGAUAUAUAGCGCUGUCACAUUUCUGUGGGUGGUGGUGCAUGGCUGUUCUUAGUUAAUGCUAACUUGUUACGAGACCCACAACUAUCAGCGCUCAACUUCUUAGAGGGACAAAUGGCAUUCAGCAGCACAAGGUCGAGCAAUAACAGAUCUGUGAUGCCCUUAGAUAUCCUGGCCUGCACACGCACUACACUGAAUGUAUCAGUGUGUGUCUACCCUUCGCCAACAAGUGCAGGUACCCGCUAAACCUCGUUUGUGAUAGAGAUUAAGGAUUACAAUUAUUUGCCAUGAACGAGGAAGUCCCAGUAAGUGUGGGUUAUAAGCUUGCUUGAAGUCUCUGCUCUUUCUACACACAGCCCCUCUUUACUACCAAUUGGAUGGUUUAGUGAGGUCCUCCGAUCAGACAUGCAGGGGUUAGCAACGGCCCUAGUGCAGCGCUGAGAAGAUGAUCAAACCUAACUAUCUAGAGGAAACAAAAGUCGCCACAAGAUUUCCAUAGGUGAACCUGCAGACC
rnacentral:rRNA from 1 species